UGCCUAGCAACUCCUAUCCCUACCUCCUCGUGGUACCGUGCGUGGUACCGACCGGAAACCACGAGCAACCUUAGGGAAGAUCGGGUAACCAACCCUGGUGGGAACUUUGGUCGUAGGCUGACAGGAAAGG
rfam:Aedes albopictus isolate Foshan contig80024, whole genome shotgun sequence.